ACGGAAGGCAGCAGUGGGGAAUAUUGGACAAUGGGGGAAACCCUGAUCCAGCGACGCCGCGUGAGUGAAGAAGUAUUUCGGUAUGUAAAGCUCUAUCAGCAAGGAAGAAAAUGACGGUACUUGACUAAGAAGCUCCGGCUAAAUACGUGCCAGCAGCCGCGGUAGUACGUAUGGAGCAAGCGUUAUCCGGAUUUACUGGGUGUAAAGGGAGCGUAGACGGCGAAGCAAGUCUGAAGUGAAAUCCCGGGGCUCAACCCCGGAACUGCUUUGGAAACUGUUUUGCUAGAGUGCAGGAGAGGUAAGCGGAAUUCCUAGUGUAGCGGUGAAAUGCGUAGAUAUUAGGAGGAACACCAGUGGCGAAGGCGGCUUACUGGACUGUAACUGACGUUGAGGCUCGAAAGCGUGGGGAGCAAACAGGAUUAGAUACCCUGGUA
rnacentral:rRNA from 1 species